rnacentral:rRNA from 1 species
GAUGAACGCUGGCGGCGUGCCUAACACAUGCAAGUCGAGCGAAGCACCUUACUUGAUUUCUUCGGGAUGAAAGUAUUGUGACUGAGCGGCGGACGGGUGAGUAACGCGUGGAUAACCUGCCUCAUACAGGGGGAUAACAGUUAGAAAUGACUGCUAAUACCGCAUAAGACCACAGCACCGCAUGGUGCAGGGGUAAAAACUCCGGUGGUAUGAGAUGGAUCCGCGUCUGAUUAGCUAGUUGGUAAGGUAACGGCUUACCAAGGCAAUGAUGCAUAGCCGAGUUGAGAGACUGAUCGGCCACAUUGGGACUGAGACACGGCCCAA